GGGGAUAUAGCUCAACGCUAGAGUGUUUGACUACAAAUCAAAUGGUCCUUGGUUCAAAUCCCAGUGCCCCCU